rnacentral:misc_RNA from 1 species
UCCAAUAAUUUCCUCCCGUUAACGUCUCAAUUCGUAACCCAAUUUCCAACAAUCCUUCAAAAUUAAAUAUACAAAAUUCAUAAGCUGUGAACACAGGCACCCUUUUCAAUCACACUUUUUGGACUUUUUUUUUUUCAAAUUUGAACCCAAAAUUCAAUAACUAAAAAAAAAAUGGCUAUCUAUGAUGGGAAAUAAAAACAAAAAUGUUAUAUACAAAAAUUAGAAUAUUUUCUGGUACGUGUGCGUUCCCCACUUUGGCCUAUUUGGAGGACUCGGUCGUGGACCGCGAAAGGGAAGUGGGUUGCGCCGAACACAGCGCCAAAGCUCUUUCUAAGUUAUUUACUAUCUCGGUCAUCGAUGGCCGAUCUUGGCCUUCGAACGUCACGCAAUCCGCCGCCAAGAAUCCUACAUAGGCCACAGCCCCUAUUUCAUGCGGCGUCGGGGUGGGCACUCUCUUGUCCAAGACUCUGUGUAUUUCAUCUUGUUCA